rnacentral:rRNA from 1 species
UACGUAGGGACCAAGCGUUGUUCGGAUUUACUGGGCGUAAAGGGCGCGUAGGCGGCAAUUCAAGUCAGCUGUGAAAUCUCCGAGCUUAACUCGGAACGGUCAGCUGAUACUGUUUUGCUAGAGUGCAGAAAGGGCAACCGGAAUUCUUGGUGUAGCGGUGAAAUGCGUAGAUAUCAAGAGGAACACCUGAGGCGAAGGCGGGUUGCUAGGCUGACACUGACGCUGAGGUGCGAAAGCUAGGGUAGCAAACGGG